UUGUUCCCUUUAGGGGAAACCAGCUGCCAUGUUGUAAGGAAACUCAAGCAACAAUAUGGAGAGACCAUGAUAUAGAGAGGAACCAAUUUACCAGCUUGAACUUGCGAGGCAGAUGAGGGAGCCGUGUCCGGAAGUGAGUCCUCCAGCCAGUUAAGCCUUCAGAUGAUUCUAGUCCUUCAGCUUUUGGAACUUGGCUGAGUUCUCAGAUAUCAUGGAAGAGAGACAAGUUUUCCUACUAUGCUCCAUCUGAGUUCCCAACCCAUAUGAAUAAUGGGAUAAUAAACCAUUGUUUUAUGUCACCAAGUUGUGGGGCAGCAGUAGAUGACUCCAGCCUAGUUACAUAUGGAUAUGAGCCACCCCCCUUUCUAAAAUAAUCAUUCAAAGAUGGAUUCUUCUAGACCUACAUUUUAAACUGCAUUCAUUUAUUCUGAGAAUUCCUAAGAGACGUCUUCUGACUCAAGUUCCAAGGAAGACUCAAAUGCACUUUGCUCUUGGAAGAAGCCAUGGAGUCAAUUAAAGAGGCCCUUCUUGAACAAAUAAAGCAGUUAGUACUUUCCACUUCUUCCCACCAAACAUUUCUUAGCCAGUGAAAUCUGACUUUGGUCUUUACCACACCUUUGAAAAUAUCUUCUCUUUAAUCCUCAUCUCUAACUACAGGAACCUGACUUUAAACUCUCCUGGACCUACUUGGUUUGCCUUUUCUUUGACUUCCCUAAUACCAACCUCCUUUGUUCCUCUGCUACUUCCUCUAUUUUACUGGCAAAGCCCCUUCCAAUUCUUUCCAUCCUAGACUUCCUGCAAAAGUCAGCCAUUUUCUCUUUGUGACUGAAGAGAACUGAACUACCUUGGAAGGCAGUAAGCUUCCUGUCCCUGCUGGUUAGGAAAAACAAAGUGGCCACCUAGAAGGGCAGCAUGAGAAGGACUCAGUGGCCUCUGAAGUGCUAUUCAAAAAUAUAAUUCUGUAAUUAUUGAAAGAUUUACAUCCCAAGAUAACUUUAAGAGUAUUUAAGACCAGUUAUAUUGACUAUGGGAUAGGUCAAUCAUAAUCCCAGAAUUGAAAUGCAUCAUAAGAGAGCCAAAGAUGGAAAGGAUCUUUGAAAUCAGCUAUGUGGUCUUGUCUACUCUUAAAAUUUUAACUCCUCCUGUAGAGAUGAUUCCCAUCAUUUUCUCCUGACUGGACCUGUUUUCCAGGAACCAGUCUCAAGUCCCUGCCAUGUCUGUUCCAUUCAGCCUGCUAUAACAAAACACCAUACAUUGGUGGCUUAUUAACAACAGAUUUAUUGCUCACAGUUCUGGAGGCUGGCAAGUUCAAGAUCAAACUAUCCAAGAUACCAGCAGACUCAGGGUCUGGUGAGGGCCCAUUUCCUGGUUCAUUGCCUUCUUGCUGUAUUAUCA
rnacentral:lncRNA from 1 species